rnacentral:tRNA from 1 species
CGUCAGGUAGCUCAAUGGUUUAGAGCAGUUGCCCGGCAAGCGAAAGACCCGGGUUCUCAAUUCCUGGUCUAGCGA